CUAGGUUUAGUGCUUAGUUAUGGGCUAGGUUUUCUGUUAGGGUUAUGGCUAGGACCAGGUCUAGGACUAAUAUCGGGUCCUGGGUUAAAGAUAAGGAUAGUGUUAGGGUUAGGUUAUGGCUAGGUCUAGUGUAAGGGUUAGGUAUACAGUAAGAGUGAGGUUUAGUGCUAGGGGAAUUAUUAGGGUCAGUGUCAGGGUUAGGGUAUGGUUUAGGUUUGAGUUUAGGUUUAGGGCUUGAAUUAGCAUUAGGUUUAGGGUUAGGGUAAUGAUUGGAUUAGGUCUAGGUUUCAGGGUAGGUUUAGGUAAUUGAUAAUUUUGGGGAUAGUGAUAUGUUUAGGGUUAGGCCUAGGGUUAUCAUUAGGGUAAGGGUUAUGUUUAAGGUAAUGAUACAGUUAGACUUAAGGUUAGGGCGAGGGUUAUGGUUAGGAUUAGGUCUUGAAUUAGGGUUAGGGUGAGAGUUAGAACUAGGGUUAGGUUAGGGUUAUGUUUAGUGUAAGGAUUAGGUUCUGAGCUAUGGUUUGGGCUAGGCUGAGAGUUAGGUUCAGGAUUAGGUCUAGGGAUAGGAUUAUGGUAUAUUUUGUGUUAGGGUUAGGGUUAGGAUUAAGCCUAGGAUUAGUGGUAGUGUCAGUAAAAGGGUCAGGGUAAGUGUUAGGGUUUUGGAUAGGGUUAGAUCUAGAAUGAGGGCAAGGGUAAGGGCUAUUAAUAGGGUUAGUGUUUUACUUAGCCUAAGGAUUAGGGAUAGGUCUAGGUUUACCCUUAGUUUUAGGGUUUUGCUUAGGUAAGGGAUUGAUUUAGAGCUAGGGUUAGGGUUAUGGUUAUGGUUAGAGUUAGGGAUAAAGAUAGGUUUGGGCCUCAUAUUAGGCCUAGGUCUUGUGUUAGGGUUAGGGAUAGUGUUAGGGCAAUGGCUAAUGUAAGAACUAAUGUUACCAUUAGGGUUAGUUUUAGUGUUAGGGUAUGUUUUAGGUUUAGUGUUGGAAUUAGGUUUAAGUUUAGGGUGAUAUUUAUAGCUAGGGUUUAUGUUAAGAUAAGACUCAAGGUCAGGCUUAGUUUUAGGGUUAGAGUUAGGACUCGAAUUAGGGCUAGGGUUACUAUUAGGGUUCAGUUUAAGGUGAGGGCGGUGUUUAGAGCUAGGGUGAGUGUUAGGAUAUGAGUCAGGGUCACGGUUGUUUUAAGGUUAGGGUUAGGACUCUAAUUAGGGCUAGUGCUAGGUCUAGUUGUUGUGUUAGGAUUUGGUUUAAGUUAAGGUUUAGGGUUAGGGAUCAUACUCGCUUUUGUUUUAGUCCUAGGGUUAGGGUUAGCACUAGUGUUAGUGUAAGGCUUAGGCUUAGCGUUAUGGUUAAAUUUGGAAAUAGGGUUAGAUCUAGGGUUAGGGCUAAAACUAAGGAUAUGGCAACGGUUAUGGCUAGGUUUAGGGAUAUGGAAAGGGAUAGAGUUAGAAUUAGGAAAAGGGCUAGGGUGAGAGUUAGUCUUAGGGCUAGGGUUAGGGUUAGGGUUAGAGAUAGGGCUAAAUUAGGGCUAGGAUUAGGGAUAGGUUUAGUGUUUAGUUUAAGCCUAUGGUUAGGGUUAGGUUUAGAGUUAUGGAUAGGGUUAGGGUGAGGGUUAGAGUUUAGAGUUAGAGUUAAGAGUUUAGCUUUAGAUUUAGGGCAAAGUUUGGGGUAAGGGAUGGCUUUACAGCUAGGUUUAGAGGUAGAGUAAGUGUUAGAAUUAGGGUUAGG
rnacentral:lncRNA from 1 species